rnacentral:rRNA from 1 species
GAUGAACGCUGGCGGCGUGCCUAACACAUGCAAGUCGAACGGAGUCCAGCCUUUAAGACCUUCGGGUCAAAGAGGGGAAGACUGAGUGGCGGACGGGUGAGUAACACGUGGGCAACCUGGCUCAUAGAGGGGGAUAACAGAGAGAAAUUUCUGCUAAUACCGCAUAAGCACACACUGCCGCAUGGCAGAGGGUGAAAAGAGAAUCGCUAUGAGAUGGACCCGCGUCUGAUUAGCCAGUUGGCAGGGUAAGAGCCUACCAAAGCGACGAUCAGUAGCCGAUCUGAGAGGAUGAGCGGCCACAUUGGGACUGAGACACGGCCCAAACUCCUACGGGAGGCAGCAGUGGGGGAUAUUGCACAAUGGGGGGAACCCUGAUGCAGCGACGCCGCGUGAGUGAAGAAGUAUUUCGGUAUGUAAAGCUCUAUCAGCAGGGAAGAUAAUGACAGUACCUGAAUAAGAAGCCCCGGCUAACUACGUG